GACGAACGCUGGCGGCGUGCCUAAUACAUGCAAGUUGAGCGAUGAAGAUUGGUGCUUGCACCAAUUUGAAGAGCAGCGAACGGGUGAGUAACGCGUGGGGAAUCUGCCUUUGAGCGGGGGACAACAUUUGGAAACGAAUGCUAAUACCGCAUAAUAACUUUAAACAUAAGUUUUAAGUUUGAAAGAUGCAAUUGCAUCACUCAAAGAUGAUCCCGCGUUGUAUUAGCUAGUUGGUGAGGUAAAGGCUCACCAAGGCGAUGAUACAUAGCCGACCUGAGAGGGUGAUCGGCCACAUUGGGACUGAGACACGGCCCAAACGCCUACGGGAGGCAGCAGUAGGGAAGCUUCGGCAAGGGACGAAAGUCUGACCGAGCAACGCCGCGUGAGUGAAGAAGGUUUUCGGAUCGUAAAACUCUGUUGGUAGAGAAGAACGUUGGUGAGAGUGGAAAGCUCAUCAAGUGACGGUAACUACCCAGAAAGGGACGGCUAACUACGUG
rnacentral:rRNA from 1 species